rnacentral:rRNA from 1 species
GAUGAACGCUGGCGGCGUGCCUAAUACAUGCAAGUCGAGCGAACAGACGAGGAGCUUGCUCCUCUGACGUUAGCGGCGGACGGGUGAGUAACACGUGGAUAACCUACCUAUAAGACUGGGAUAACUUCGGGAAACCGGAGCUAAUACCGGAUAAUAUAUUGAACCGCAUGGUUCAAUAGUGAAAGACGGUUUUGCUGUCACUUAUAGAUGGAUCCGCGCCGCAUUAGCUAGUUGGUAAGGUAACGGCUUACCAAGGCGACGAUGCGUAGCCGACCUGAGAGGGUGAUCGGCCACACUGGAACUGAGACACGGUCCAGACUCCUACGGGAGGCAGCAGUAGGGAAUCUUCCGCAAUGGGCGAAAGCCUGACGGAGCAACGCCGCGUGAGUGAUGAAGGUCUUCGGAUCGUAAAACUCUGUUAUUAGGGAAGAACAAAUGUGUAAGUAACUAUGCACGUCUUGACGGUACCUAAUCAGAAAGCCACGGCUAACUACGUA